UACAGAGGCCUCAAGCGUUAUCCGGAAUUACUGGGCGUAAAGGGUGUGUAGGUGGUCUAGUUAGUCUUCUGUUAAAUUCUUCGGCUUAACCGGGGACCUGCGGAGGAAACGGCUAGACUCGAGGGUGCGAGGGGUGCAUGGAACUCAUGGAGUAGGGGUGAAAUCCGUUGAUAUCAUGAGGAACACCAAAAGCGAAGGCAGUGCACUGGCGCAUUUCUGACACUCAAACACGAAAGCGUGGGUAGCGAAUGGG
rnacentral:rRNA from 1 species